AUGAAUAAUGUGAUGAAAUUAAUGUUGAAAAAGAUGAACAAUGUGAUGGAAAUAACGUGGAGGAAGAUGAACAAAGAUUAUGAUGAUAGUGAAGAUGAAGCUAUUGAUAUAACAUUUGAUGAUAGUGAGGAUGAUAGGGCUUUUAGGUUGGAUGAUGUCUUUCACAUGCUUGGUAAAGAAGGUGAUGCCAAUGACAAAAAAGGUAGGGUAAAAUGUGUUGCAAAGAAGAACAUGCACACUCCAACGAAACUUGUGAGCGGUGUUGAUAAUAUUGGUUGA